CAAAUGUCUUUGAAUGCCUUCAUAAAACACACGAUUUCCAUUUAUGUUUUUUCUUAAUUGAAUUCAGGCCAUUACGGGACUUUUUCAACUGGAGGUGAUUUCAGGGAAAACUUCCCAGCUGUUGUUAACCUGCGGAUCCACUUGGGCUGUAGACCACAAAAACUGGAGCUCAACGUUAACGGAUCAUACCUGGCGGAUGCGUACAACAUAACGGAAGACAGCAGCACCGGAGAGAAAAUGUUCAGUAAAUCGUUUUCUUUCCCCAAAGUAUCAAUGCUCGAUAACGGUACCACUGUCACCCUGUACAGUAGCUUCAUUGAUGACCAAGGAUUCCCAAGGAACAUAAGCAUUGAACAAGUUAUCCUCGUCGUUCCAGAAACUUUUUGUCAAGAAAAGCCUUACGGUUGUAAUUACCGUCAUCCAUACAACGCAAACAUGAUGGUAGCCUGUGGCGAAGGAAUUAUUGCUGCUUUUCGCAAAUGUCAAACUGGACUCGUGUUCUCCAAGUCGAGUUGUGUUGGACAGUGUUGCCCGGAGGGUUCAACAACCAACUGUCAACGCCCAUAACACAAGAGUCAGCUAUCGGAAACUAUUAUACAUCUUUCAUCAAUCAUGUUCUACUAUAACCUUUGGCAAAACUUUCGUAAAAAUGAACAUAUUAUCAAAAAUCAUCACUCGUUUGUCCAAAUGCCUGUCUCAGCUGUCGUACAAAAUGACUCAAGAAUCUAAACGUCAACUAUUGUAGCUCAUCAGUUAAUUAGUAUAAAUCUUGGUUCAUGCAUCAUAAACUGUGACUCAGCUGUCAAAAUCAAACCACAUUUUAGCAGAUUAUUAAUCAACCAUUAUGAAACGUGAACAGCAAUUAUACUCAAGAUUUGUCUUUCGCUGAUUUGUCUUUCGCAAUUCGUAACUUAAUUACUCUCAAUUAUAUCUGAACUAUCGAAAAGCUUGUCUCAAUCAUCAAUAACCAUAAAGCCGGUCCCGUAAGCGUAACAUUAAACACACCCUAAACUAUAUUUUCCCUUAAGGGUCCAUCGACAGUUAAUUUGGAGAACUUUUUUUUUAUCAUUUAUUUAUUUUCCUUGAACAGUCAUGCCCUUUUGAGACAGGGUCUCUUUGUAGUAGGGUUUUUGCCUAAUGACAAAGUUACAGCAGUACUGAGAACAGCCCGUUUCUCAGAUUCCAGAAAAAAAACUAACAUGGGUAGGAAGCGUCUUAACACGAUCAAUCAUGAUGUUGCGUGAUUGCGCUGUAUCCGACUGAGCUUUCGUAGUCUUUUUAUUUCUUCUUGUUUUUUGUUUUUUGUUUUUGGUUUGUUUUGUUUGUUUUUUAUAUUUUCUAAAUGUAAAACAGUAAUACAUGUAUAUUUAAACUUGGUUUACGUAAUGUAUUUUGUAAUUACGCCCUUCGCACAUCUUCACAAUGUACGAUACCAUUUUAGUUUAAUCCAUGGUAUGGAAAUAAGCAUGGACUAUGAUUAUGUUUAUUGUAAUUAAAAAAAGUAUUGUUUGUUCUGUAAAGUAUGACAUGCACAAAUGUUCAUGAUCACGGAACGAUGUUAGGUCACAGUACAAAGUAUACCUGGAUUAUCCAUUUGGUAGAUAAUUACACUCUUUCUUCUUUGUUGAAUGUUGGGUAAAUCAAAUUUACUUAUAACACUUGAUUAAUACAUACUGGAUUGAAUUGGCUUUUGACAGUUUUGAUACUUGUUAUUAAUAUGUUGGGGUUUUUUUGUUUUUGUUUUUUGUUUUUGUUUUUGUUUUUGUUUUUUGUUUUUUGUUUUUAUGAUAUAACCAUCAAUAUAAAGUACCUGCUUUCAAUUUAAUUAACAAAUUAUCAUAUUAUUUCCAAGAGUUGGUGUAACCCUACUCCAAAAAAAUAUAUCUAUUUGCUGAAAUUGGCCUUUGAUCCUCAUUAGUGGAUGGUAAGUGCGUAAUGCAUAUGGACUGUGUGGCCUGUAUGUUGAGGGAUCAAUUCAAUAUCACCAAAUAUGUAUGUCCAAUAGUAUAUUUAUAUGAAUAUCAAUAUUGCAUUGCUUUGUAUUAUUCACUGAUAACAUAAUAAUCGAGUAAUUAAAAUUAAGUACCAUUAGCCAAAUGUUUACGCUCUUAAACAACAUUGAAUUAGUCUAACAACCUCAAGGAGUUACUGCCCCUUAAAUUAAUUUGUCAUAUCAAUGUGUACAUAUACUUUAUAUUUGUCUAUAUUUCUUACCACCAGUUGUUACCCAGAAGAAGACUUAGAUAGGAUAUGUCUGAUGUCUAAUCCUAUUGACUUUCUUUCUAUGUCAAUAAAAUGUGUUGAAAUUGAAAUUGAAAUGUUAGGUCACAUGAAUCUCACCAGAUAUGUAACGUAAUAUAACAAGUAUUGAACAUAUGCGUUUUAGCCUAGUCCACAGCAAAUGUGUUUUAUAUUGUACUUAGCGUUUGGGUAGCUGUAAUAGAUAAAACGUGAGAUUACUUACUUCAGAUCUUUUAUUGACAUGGAGUUUUUAAUACCAUGUGUUUUCGAUCAGUAUGUAUAGAUACUUCAAAAUAGGUAAAUCAUUUGUUAUUUCUACCAAAGUAUCAUUCAACUCCAAAGGCAGGAAACAAUCAUUACAACUUUUGAAAAACGUUCAGUAUUUAUCACGCGUUGCAUAACCUCUUAAUGUAUUUUGAUUUGUUGACAUUGUGAACUUUGACCGGGACUAUUUUUUAAUCUCGUGGCUCAAUGCGUUUCGCUUGAAGGCCGCUUCAUGAGGUACCGGAAAUGAUAACACACGAGAGAUUAUUACUUUUGCAUAAUGAUUAGAAGUAAUUAUCUGAUAUACCUAUUCUUAUAUCCUUACUGAUAUUGUGAAAAAGAAAACUGGUUAAUUCGUCUACAAAAUAGCCUUUUUUUCGUGGUAGAAACAGGUCACGCAGCCUCGUGGUUGUUGCAUGUUUCACUGUCGUUAGUUAUUUUUUUUAUAAACCAGCAAAAACAGUCGCUAAUUUUUUUUUUUUUUUUUUUUUAUAUAUAUAUUUUAGAAAAAAUACCUUACGCAAGUGAAUCAAAUAAUAUAUACCACGACCGCUCGUUGUGCUACCACUAUGUAUGAUAAAUGUGGGAAAGUGAGCACAACGGUAUUAAAUCAUAUAUUUGAUGUAUCAUGUUCUGAUUUAUAUUGAAAAAAUACCUUUCAAAAUGUAUCUGUUUUUAAACUAUACUGUUAACACUCAUUAAAAUACUUAGCUUCAAAAUAUACAGAUUUAAAACCUAAAUUUCGCGUUUUCUAUAACCAAUAUUGUAUAUCAACAUUUUUUUUAUCCUAUUCAGAAAACGUAGUCCAGGAUUCGCAUGAUGGUUAAAGCUGCGCCCAAUUCUUUUGCUCAUUAGUGUAUUCAAGUAGAUUAAACAAUGUUGUAUUUGUUACAACUUGUAAUUUUCGAUGCCGUCACACUUUUUUUUAGAUUUCACGCUCUGUCUGCACUACCUGACUUUAUUUAUGUUUUUCGGUGUUUUUGUUAAUUUUGCAUGUUUAGAAUGGUUAUGUAAUAGUGUGUUAACUAUUCUAUUACCUAGUUUUGAUGUAUCACUUUCUGUCAAUAAACAAAGUUUCUUUGU